rnacentral:rRNA from 1 species
ACGAACGCUGGCGGCGUGCCUAAUACAUGCAAGUCGAGCGGAAUGAAGAAGAAGCUUGCUUCUUCUGAUUUUAGCGGCGGACGGGUGAGUAACACGUGGGCAACCUACCUUGUAGAUUGGGAUAACUCCGGGAAACCGGGGCUAAUACCGGAUAAUCCAUUUUGCUUCAUGGCGAGAUGUUAAAAGGCGGCUUCGGCUGUCACUACGAGAUGGGCCCGCGGCGCAUUAGCUAGUUGGUAGGGUAAUGGCCUACCAAGGCGACGAUGCGUAGCCGACCUGAGAGGGUGAUCGGCCACACUGGGACUGAGACACGGCCCAGACUCCUACGGGAGGCAGCAGUAGGGAAUCUUCCACAAUGGACGAAGGUCUGAUGGAGCAACGCCGCGUGAGUGAAGAAGGUUUUCGGAUCGUAAAACUCUGUUGUAAGGGAAGAACACGUACGAGAGUAACUGCUCGUACCUUGACGGUACCUUAUCAGAAAGCCACGGCUAACUACGUG